rnacentral:lncRNA from 1 species
GGAAGCACACUGCGGCGAUUCUGGAGAGGUUGUCCUUUUCUGGCAUCAGCGUUGCGGCUCGAGGCAAAGCUGGUCCUGUGCCUGCUGUCCAUUGCCGCUAAGGCCUGCUGCUGCCAUUCAGGCGUGUCUCUCUCUCUCUCUCUCUUUCAUGCCGCUCUCUCCACCCCAUCUUGGGACGGCCAGCUCUAAGAAUUCCUGCUACGACACUGAAUUCAACCAGGAGGUGAUGCCACACUCAAUCAGAAACUAUGCUACUGCUGAAGAGGUAUAUUGAGCCCUGCCUGGUUAACCUCCAGUGAGGUUAUUAGAGAAUUGGGAGAGGCUCAAAUCAGCAUCCUGCACCUAGUUAUCAAACCAUUGUGAAGUCUUGAUUCCUGGAUGGCCAGAAAACUUGUCAUUGGUCAAGAGCAACAUUAAGAUCUGCCUGUUACUCAUACUGAUGCUUCCUGCCCAGCAAGUUCAUCAGAGGGCGAGGAUGAAUUACGGUUGCCAUGAAUGUCCUUGUGAGGCAGUUGGGAAGCCUUGGCUGGAUUGUGAAGGAUAUUUGAAAAGUAUUUUAGAGUCCACCAGAUCAUCCAUGUGAGUGACCAUGCAGCAAAAGAAGGAGGGUCCUCUCAGUGAUUAAGGAUUAUGAAGUAUUAAUUCUUCCACUGAUAUCUCAAAAGGUGAUCUGGACAAAGGAACAGGUAUCUCAGAUUCCCAGUUCUCAAUCUUCCUUCCUCCUUACAAGAUACAAGCAACCUUCAACCUUCCCAGAGAUGGUCUCUGUAUAUGAAAGACAAUGGUCUUAUUAUGAAGUCGGCAUAUUUAUAGCUUGAUAAAAACUGAAAAAUCUGUAGCCUAUUUUUAAUAGUGAUAUAUAAGGAAAUAACAUAAAUAAAAAUUUGGCAACAAGAAUCCAGGAGCAAAUUUAUGAUCAAUACACAAUUGGGCAAGUGGUGUUCAUACCAACCAUGCAAAAAUGGUUCAAUUUUAGGAAAUCUUUGAAUAUAGCUUUUAGUAGGUCAGAGGAAAUCAGUAUCUCAAAGUACUUUCAUGAUUUAGUUAUUUUUAAGUUAUUGAUCAUUUUGGAUUUUAUUUUGAGGUUGAUAGCCAUAUAAUGAUUUCACAUUUUAUUUUAAAUGGCUAGCUGUUGUCCCAAUACUAUUUACUGAAAAAUCUACAUUUUGCUCACUCUUUUUUUUUUUUUUUAAGAGACAGGGUUUUACCAUGUUGCCCAGGCUAGAUUUGAACUCCUGGGCUCAAGUGAUCCUCUCGACCCAGCCUCCUGAGUAUCUGUGACUGCAGGCAAGUACCCCUGUGCCUGCUCACUUAUUUAAAGUUCUACACAUCAAAUACUAAAUUCUCAUCUAUUUGACUUCUGGACUCACUGGUUGGUGUCAUUGACUGUCUUUUCCUGUGAUAGCAUAGAAUUAUUUUGAUUGUGGAAGUACUAUAAAUGUUGCUAUUUAUUGUGCCUCUUGCUGCCUAUCUAUAUUUAGACUCAUUUAUGUGAUGCCAUUCUGUAUACUCUAAAUUUUUUGGUUCUAUUUUAAUAAUGUUUGAGUCAAUGACUUUUCAUGACUCUUGACUUCCCUACUUCAACAGUUUACUAGUCUCCAUCUUGAAUGUUUUUAUUAAUCUAUUUUGUGUUAAUUCUACCCAGGUUUUUUGUUUUUCCUUGCUACUAUUAUAUAUAUUUCUGCCAGAUGUCACAUGGUAUAAAUGCCUAUAUGGACUUUUGUAACAGAAAAUUUACUUACUAGAAUUAAUGUAGGGGGCUUUUUAAUAAGAGUGCAUGUAACAUAGUAACAGUAGCAGAGCUAUAUCAGAAACAGUUCUGAUAAUAUUUCAUGAUCUAUAGUUUGUUGCAUGCCCAUUGCUUCAUACUGCUUGUGUUCUUGGUUGAGUCAUAAGUAAUUUUUAUGGGGUGUGUCAUGACUGUCAUAUUCAUAGAGAGUUGUCUGCCUUGCCCCAUGGUCUUUGCAUGGCUUAAACAGGACCCCUUUUCAUACACAAGUCAUUCAAUUUUAUGUUUUUAAUAGCAUCAAUUUUAGUGUUUAACAUGUGUCUCUGGACUAUGCAUCAGAAUACUUGACUGUUAGUGUGAAAUGAAAAUUCAUGGAUAUCAUAAUUUAUGUAACAUAAUUUAACAUUUCUUUAUUAAUAAGACUUUAGAUUGUCCCUUUCACAAAAAAAUGGUGCGGUUAAAACUUAAUCCUUGUGUCUUUUUGUGAGUAGUUCUAUGAUUUCUAUAUGAUGGCAUCCUUGAAAAAGUUGGUAAAAAUAAGAAUAGUUCUUAUUUAUUAAAGUUCUUCUCAAAUUGCUCUUCCAAAACAUUUUAGUUUAUACUGCAAUGUUAACCAUUUUACACUUGCUUAAGUAAUUUUCUUCAAAUACACACGAGUCCAGGCUAUUUAACCUUAUUUUACCGCUAUAGCACAAAACAGGUUUUCCAAAAUUGUCCUUGCACACCUGGGAUUUUACAAGGAUAUUAUAAUCUUGGUUCAGUUUGACUUACUGAAUUUGUAGUAAGUAUAUUUUAGCACAUAGAAAAUUCAAAAUAUGUGUUAAUCUGUUUAUAGGGUAAAUUUUUAUGAGGGUGGAUGUCAUCCUGUUUUUUUUUUUUUUAAUAAAUGUUUUGUUUCAGAAUGUUUUUUAUUUACAGAAAAGUUACAAACAUAGUACAGAGAGUUCCCAAAUGCUCCACA